AGGGUUUGAUCAUGGCUCAGAAUCAACGCUGGCGGCGUGCCUCAGACAUGCAAGUCGAACGAUUAAAGCUCCCUUCGGGGAGUGCAUAAAGUGGCGCACGGGUGAGUAACACGUAAGUAAUCUACCCUCGAGUGGGGAAUAACAACCGGAAACGGUUGCUAAUACCGCAUAAUGCAGCGGCACCGCAAGGUGACAGUUGUUAAAGAUUUAUUGCUUGAGGAGGAGCUUGCGGCAGAUUAGCUUGUUGGUAAGGUAACGGCUUACCAAGGCUACGAUCUGUAUCCGGUCUAAGAGGACGGUCGGACACACUGACACUGAAUAACGGGUCAGACUCCUACGGGAGGCAGCAGUCGGGAAUUUUGGGCAAUGGGGGAAACCCUGACCCAGCAACGCCGCGUGAAGGAUGAAGUAUUUCGGUAUGUAAACUUCGAAAGAAUAGGAAGAAUUAAUGACGGUACUAUUUAUAAGGUCCGGCUAACUACGUGCCAGCAGCCGCGGUAAUACGUAGGGACCAAGCGUUGUUCGGAUUUACUGGGCGUAAAGGGCGCGUAGGCGGCGCGGUAAGUCACUUGUGAAAUCUCUGAGCUUAACUCAGAACGGCCAAGUGAUACUGCAGUGCUAGAGUGUGGAAGGGGCAAUCGGAAUUCUUGGUGUAGCGGUGAAAUGCGUAGAUAUCAAGAGGAACACCUGAGGUGAAGACGGGCUGCUGGGCCAACACUGACGCUGAGGCGCGAAAGCCAGGGGAGCAAACGGGAUUAGAUACCCCGGUAGUCCUGGCCCCUAAACGAUGAAUACUUGGUGUCUGGAGUUUUAAUGCUCCGGGU
rnacentral:rRNA from 1 species